rnacentral:tRNA from 1 species
AGGUCGGUAGCCAAGUGGUCGAAGGCGGCGGGCUGUAAACCCGCUACGUUAGAUACAUCGUUGGUUCGAAUCCAACCCGACCUA